rnacentral:rRNA from 1 species
AGCGAACGCUGGCGGCAGGCCUAACACAUGCAAGUCGAGCGCCGUAGCAAUACGGAGCGGCAGACGGGAGAGUAACACGUGGGAACGUGCCCUUCAGUUCGGAACAACCCAGGGAAACUUGGGCUAAUACCGGAUACGCCCUUACGGGGAAAGAUUUAUCGCUGAGGGAUCGGCCCGCGUCUGAUUAGCUUGUUGGUGAGGUAACGGCUCACCAAGGCUACGAUCAGUAGCUGGUCUGAGAGGAUGAUCAGCCUCACUGGGACUGAGACACGGCCCAGACUCCUACGGGAGGCAGCAGUGGGGAAUAUUGGACAAUGGGCGCAAGCCUGAUCCAGCCAUGCCGCGUGAGUGAUGAAGGCCUUAGGGUUGUAAAGCUCUUUCGGCGGGGAAGAUAAUGACGGUACCCGCAGAAGAAGCCCCGGCUAACUUCGUGCCAGCCGCCGCCGUAACAC